CUGAGGGCCUUUUAGCAGUAGGAAUUCCCAUUUGUCCUUCUCAUAACUAUGAGAGCGUGUGCUGAGGAUGGGCUGAAGAGAAAGAUGCUGCUUCCAGGUGAACAGGAGAAGCAGAACCAACAGGGUAUGUGUAUUUAUUUAUGAUGGGAGUUGGCUCACGAGAUCACAGUGGCUGAGGAGUCAUAUGAGCUGCUGGGGCUGCCAAUCCCAGUCUGGGGGCAGGAGAACAUGAGAAGAGAUAUCCCAGCUCAACAGUGAGGAGGAAAAAGAAAAUGUCAAAUUACUCCAAAUUACUCCUUCCUCCGCCUUUCUGUUCUCUCAGGCGAUCCUGGAUUGGAUGCACCGACGGGGAGGGCAGUUUACUUUUCUUGAGCCCACGGUUUUAGAGCUGAUCUCAUCUGGAAAUACCCUCACAGACCCAUCCAGAGAUAAUGCUUAAUCUGGGACUUGC